rnacentral:rRNA from 1 species
GCAUAUCAAUAAGCGGAGGAAAAGAAACCAACAGGGAUUGCCUCAGUAACGGCGAGUGAAGCGGCAACAGCUCAAAUUUGAAAUCUGGCCUCUGGCCCGAGUUGUAAUUUGCAGAGGAUGUUUCUGGCGAGGUGCCUUCCGAGUUCCCUGGAACGGGACGCCAUAGAGGGUGAGAGCCCCGUACGGUUGGUCGCUAAGCCUCUGUGAAACUCCUUCGACGAGUCGAGUAGUUUGGGAAUGCUGCUCUAAAUGGGAGGUGUACGCCUUCUAAAGCUAAAUACAGGCUAGAGACCGAUAGCGCACAAGUAGAGUGAUCGAAAGAUGAAAAGCACUUUGAAAAGAGGGUUAAAUAGUACGUGAAAUUGUUGAAAGGGAAGCGCUCUUGACCAGACUUGCGCCGGUUGAUCAUCCACCGUUCUCGGUGGUGCACUCUGCCGGCUCAGGCCAGCAUCAGUUUGGCCCGGGGGACAAAGGCUUCGGGAAUGUGGCUCUCUCCGGGGAGUGUUAUAGCCCGUUGCGUAAUACCCUGGGCUGGACUGAGGUUCGCGCAUCUGCAUGGAUGCUGGCGUAAUGGUCAUCAGUGACCCGUCUUGAAACACGGACCAAGGAGUCGUCUUCGUAUGCGAGUGUUCGGGUGUCAAACCCCUACGCGUAAUGAAAGUGAAUUAGGAGAGAGCUUCGGCGCAUCUCCGACCGAUCCUGAUGUUCUCGGAUGGAUUUGAGUAAGAGCAUACGGGGCCGGACCCGAAAGAAGGUGAACUAUGCCUGUAUAGGGUGAAGCCAGAGGAAACUCUGGUGGAGGCUCGCAGCGGUUCUGACGUGCAAAUCGAUCGUCAAAUAUGGGCAUGGGGGCGAAAGACUAAUCGAACCUUCUAGUAGCUGGUUUCCGCCG